rnacentral:rRNA from 1 species
GAUGAACGCUGGCGGCGUGCCUAAUACAUGCAAGUCGAGCGAACAGAUGAGGAGCUUGCUCCUCUGACGUUAGCGGCGGACGGGUGAGUAACACGUGGAUAACCUACCUAUAAGACUGGGAUAACUUCGGGAAACCGGAGCUAAUACCGGAUAAUAUAUUGAACCGCAUGGUUCAAUAGUGAAAGACGGUUUUGCUGUCACUUAUAGAUGGAUCCGCGCCGCAUUAGCUAGUUGGUAAGGUAACGGCUUACCAAGGCGACGAUGCGUAGCCGACCUGAGAGGGUGAUCGGCCACACUGGAACUGCGACACGGUCCAGACUCCUACGGGAGGCAGCAGUAGGGAAUCUUCCGCAAUGGGCGAAAGCCUGACGGAGCAACGCCGCGUGAGUGAUGAAGGUCUUCGGAUCGUAAAACUCUGUUAUUAGGGAAGAACAAAUGUGUAAGUAACUAUGCACGUCUUGACGGUACCUAAUCAGAAAGCCACGGCUAACUACGUG